rnacentral:tRNA from 1 species
AGUACCGUAGCUCAGUCGGUUAGAGCGCGAGACUGUCCUCACCGUUCCCUUGCCCGCAUGACCACGUGGUCGAGCGGGCCGAUGGUCGAGGCUCAUCGGAUCUCGAGGCCGCGGGUUCGAGUCCCGCCGGUACUU